GCAAAACGCGAAGAACCUUACCCAGGCUCGAAUGCCAGCGGACCGGUCCUGAAAGGGACCUUCCUUCGGGCCGCCGGCAAGGUGCUGCAUGGCUGUCGUCAGCUCGUGUCGUGAGAUGUUGGGUUAAGUCCCGUAACGAGCGCAACCCCUACGGUCAGUUACCAGCGUGUUAAGACGGGGACUCUGAUCGGACUGCCUGCGCAAGCAGUGAGGAAGGUGGGGACGACGUCAAGUCAUCAUGGCCCUUACGCCUGGGGCUGCACACGUGCUACAAUGGCCGGUACAAUGGGCUGCUACCCUGCGAAGGGAUGCCAAUCCGAGAAAGCCGGUCUCAGUUCGGAUCGGAGUCUGCAACUCGACUCCGUGAAGUCGGAAUCGCUAGUAAUCGCGCAUCAGCUACGGCGCGGUGAAUACGUUCCCGGGUCUUGUACACACCG
rnacentral:rRNA from 1 species